UCAAGACGGCAGAUAACGUGCACGGAACCUCGAGAAGAUAUUCUAGGGUGACGAGAGCGAUCUUGGACCCGACAGACCGCUAACAUCGGACAACCUUUCCAUCACCUGCUUAAGACGUUCAUGACUGCUUCGACAUAUUUUCUAGGCAUCCUUGGAACCGUCUCAAGUCAAUCUGUUUCUAUCUUGGUUUCUCAUCUCCGCAAUGCACGGAUUCCGCUCAACCUGAGUCAAUCUACAUUUUACCACCCACUGGUUGGCUUCGUUAACUUGGUUUCCCUCCUCCGUGGCCGGUGCGCGCUCCGGAAAGCCCGGGGCCGACCGUAACACCACAAGUCUGCUUUUCUGAUGGACGGCGCCAUCUUGAAAGUUGAGUGGCCAGCCAAGCAAGACGAGAGCGGCGUAGCAAAGGGCGACGAAUAUCACCAGUGCCGUUCCUCGCUUGCGAGGAAACCAAGAUGUCAUGGCGGCCUUAGUAACAUCGCUGCCGCAAAGUAGGUUCCACCACUUGUUGUCAACGCUCCAUGCACGCGGCGACCCGACACUGCCGUCUGCUCAUCAAACUUCCUCCGAGAAAACUUGGCUGGAAUGGGGAGAGGGCAACAGGAGGGGUAUCAAGUGGCGCGCUUGGGCGCAUGCGCAGAUGAGGAGACUCGCGGGCUCCCGCAGGACAUCUGUUGCGCGUCGCCGACCUGCUUCAUUAUUUACAAUUAUUUGGGCGUGUCUCGUGCGAAGUCGACGGAAGGCUCGACAGUUCAUUUCGCUCGGAAGAUAAUUGGAGAAAGUACGUUAGGUUUCGUGGAUGUCUAGAACACACGAAAUGAGUGGACGCAGACGGGACGUUCACCCCCACGGUUAUUUUACAUUCCAAACUGGGAUGUGGACUCGCAUGACAACACUGUUUAACGUCAUUUUAAUCGAAACUGUGAAAAUAAUUUUAACUUGGUCGGACGAACUCUAUUGUCCGACGAACGAGGCCCCAGCCCCUACAGCCCGUGUUUUCUCUCUCAAAUAUACGUUGUUGCGAAUAGAGCCUUUUCAUAUAUGUUCUUGCACCACUCCUUGCCAUCGUCGUAGAUGACACGCUGGAUACUUUUUCUUCGUGGGAAGGACUCUGUCCGACGACCGAGGUUCCCAUAUAUGUUCACUAGCCGGUGUUUUCUGUUUCAAAUCCGUUAUGACGACGAUCUAGUGAGUUUAGACAGGACAGAUCGGACGAAGAGACGGCCAAGAGGAGUUUGAACGCUUCAAAUGAUAGAACUUUACUGGGAAUAAAAUGCGUGAAUCUAC